rnacentral:rRNA from 1 species
AAAUACUACCCAGUGACCGAUAGCGUAUAGUACUGUGAAGGAAAGGUGAAAAGGACCCCGGGAGGGGAGUGAAAUAGAACCUGAAACCUUGUGCCUACAAGCACAUAGAGCACAUCAACGUGUGAUAUGGUACUUUUUGUAGAACGGUCCGGCGAGCGAUUGUAUGUUGCGAGCUUAAGGUCUUAAGGACUGGAGGCGUAGCGAGAGCGAGUCUGAAUAGGGCGUUCAGUAACAUGCAAUGGGCCCGAAACCGGGUGACCUACCCAUGAUCAGGCUGAAGUGAAAGUAAAAUUUCAUGGAGGGCCGAACCGACCUCCGUUGAAAAGGCGGCGGAUGAAUUGUGGGUAGCGGAGAAAUUCCAAUCGAACUCGGAGAUAGCUGGUUCUCCCCGAAAUAGCUUUAGGGCUAGCCUCAUAUUAGAUACCCGGAGGUAAAGCACUGAAUGGCCUAGCGCCCGAGAGGGUAGCGAAGCCUAUCAAACUAAGAAUGCCGGAGUAUUGAUGUAUGGGAGUCAGACAGUGUGAGAUAAAUCUCAUUGUCAAAAGGGAAACAGCCCAGAUCUACAGCUAAGGUCCCAAAUUGUAUCUAAGUGGAAAACGAUGUGGAAAUACGCAGACAACCAGGAUGUUGGCUCAGAAGCAGCCACUCAUUUAAAGAGUGCGUAAUAGCUCACUGGUCGAGCGUCUCUGCGCGGAAAAUUUAACGGGGCUAAGAUACAAACCGAAGCUUAGGCUGCACGUAAGUGCGGGGUAGGGGAGCGUUGUGUAAGCGGAGAAACAGUAGCGUAAGCGGCUGUGGAGUUUACAGAAGUGAGAAUGCCGGAAUGAGUAGCGCGAAUGUGGUGAGAAUCCACAUGGCCGGAAACCUCAGGUUUUUGGAGGAAGGUUCGUCCGCUCCAAGUUAGGCGGGAGCUAAGGUCAGGCCGAAAGGCGUAGCCGAUGCACAGACGGUAGAGAUUCCGUCCCCACCGAAAGAUUUAAGCACAGGGACACUUUUAGAAGGUCGGAGCCAGGUGUUGGUUCUGGUAGUGAUCGAGGGAAAUUUAGUACCGAAGUCCGGCUGGAAGAGAGGCGAGAAAAGCUGUGUGUAUAUCUAAGGUGCCCGUACCGCAAACCGACACAGGUAGGUAGGAAGAAGAUUCUAAGGCCAACGGGAGAAGGGUUGUUAAGGAACUCGGCAAGUUGACCCCGUAACUUCGGAAUAAGGGGUGCUCACGAGAGUGAGCCGCAGAGAAUAGGCCCAGGCAACUGUUUACCAAAAACACAGGUUUGUGCUAAAUCGAAAGAUGACGUAUACGAGCUGACGCCUGCCCGGUGCUGGAAGGUUAAAAGGAGAUGUGCAAGCAUUGAAUUGAAGCCCCAGUGAACGGCGGCCGUAACUAUAACGGUCCUAAGGUAGCGAAAUUCCUUGUCAGGUAAGUUCUGACCCGCACGAAAGGCGUAAUGAUUUGGGCACUGUCUCAACAGCCCGCCCGGCGAAAUUGUAGUACCGGUGAAGAUGCCGGUUACCCGCGACAAGACGGAAAGACCCCAUGGAGCUUUACUGUAGCCUGAUAUUGGGUUUCGGUGUUGCAUGCACAGGAUAGAUGGGACGCUGGGAAAGAAGCGCUUUGGCGUUUCUGGAGCGGACGUUGGGAUACCAUCCUUGCGACAUUGGAAUUCUAACCUGCGCCUCUGAAUCGAGGCGGGGGACAUUGUCAGGUGGGCAGUUUGACUGGGGCGGUCGCCUCCUAAAAAGUAGCGGAGGCGUUCAAAGGUUCGUUCGAUCUGGACGGAAACCAGAUGAUUGAGUGCAAACGCAUAAACGAGCCUGACUGCGAGACUGACGGGUCGAGCAGAGACGAAAGUCGGAGUUAGUGAUCCGGUGGUAUGUGAGUGGAAAUGCCAUCGCUCAACGGAUAAAA